UUGCAUAUGAAAGUACAAAAAUUGCACUCUAUACUUCUGAACAAGCAGUGAGUCAAUGUCAAAUGCUAGCAACAAUCAGAAGAAUUAGGAAACAUGACUGACAUAGGAUUGAAUAUCAUAACCUGAUUGACUUUUACUCUCUUUGGUUCUUCUUCUGCAGUUCUACUUCUUGUGUGCCUUCAGUUUGUCAUUUAGGUUAUAAGAAAAAGUAUAGUGGUCUGUAAGGGUAAUCCGAU
rnacentral:lncRNA from 1 species